rnacentral:tRNA from 1 species
ACCUGGGAUAGCUCAGUUGGUAGAGCAUGAGACUCUUAAUCUCAGGGUUGUGGGUUCGAGCAGCACCUUGGGCA